ACUGCUCAUGUUUCAUCGUUAAAUCCUCUACCGGGAAAUUCUAGCAUGUAAUUAUAUAAGUUUUAGUUGAUUUUUCAAUUUUCAUCUCUCUCUCUCUUUCUUUUUGUAUUUGGUUUGUAAGAUUUUCAUUCAUAAUUUAUCAUCUCUUUCACUGUGUUUGGUAGCCCUUGAAAUGUAACUAGUUUUGCCAAUUUGAUAUAAUACUAGUGGCUUCGAUGCUACUCCCAAUUUUCAGUUUUGAAUAAUUAGUUCACUGUGAACUCGA
rnacentral:lncRNA from 1 species